CCUCUUCUUCAUCCUCUUAAUUUUGAUAUUUUCUUCUCAUUCUAGUUUCGGAUCGAAAUGGCAAUCAGCUGCAAGGUGAAGAUUAUAGCCGUCUUGCUUUUCGCAUUGUUUGCCAUCUCCAUGCUCGAAUCCACUCAGGUUUCGGCAGUAGGACUAGGGGAUCUGCAAAACCAGAGCAAUGCAGGUGGAGAUGUGCAACGAGGUGUAGUAAGACGAAGCACCGUUUCGAUUUUUGCAAUGCAGGCUGCAUGAGUUGCUGCAGUUCAUGUAAGUGUGUGCCCCGAGGUACUUCUGGUUACCGAAGGGUCUGUCCUUGCUACGACACCAAGAAGACUAAAAUGGGAGGACCAAAAUGCCCUUGAUUAAUGCUAGUCUUUAUGAAAUAUGAGGGCUAAUGCGUUUUUUUGUUCAUUAAGUGGUCAUUUUUUAUCACUAUUGAUUUAGUUUUGCAGCUUUGUAAUUUUUUUUGGCUUUGUUUGAUCAUCGAGUUGGAAAGAUCUUUACUUGUUGUAAUCGGGUCAU